rnacentral:tRNA from 1 species
GGAAGGUUCGCAUAGUGGCCGAGUGCACGCGCCUUGAAAGCGCGCGACGGGAGACCGUCCGUGGGUUCAAAUCCCACACCUUCCA